rnacentral:rRNA from 1 species
UACGUAGGUGGCAAGCGUUGUCCGGAUUUACUGGGCGUAAGGGGGCGCAGGCGGGCGUUCCAGGUGCGUGGGAAAGCCCCCGGCUCAACUGGGGAGGGUCACGCGAUACUGAUCGACUCGAAGGCAGGAGAGGGUAGUGGAAUUCCCGGUGUAGUGGUGAAAUGCGUAGAUAUCGGGAGGAACACCAGUGGCGAAGGCGACUACCUGGCCUGUUCUUGACGCUGAGGCGCGAAAGCUAGGGGAGCAAACGGG